rnacentral:misc_RNA from 1 species
GUGAAUCAUCAAAUUUUUGAACGCAAAUUGCGCUUCCUGGUAUCCCGGGAAGUAUGCCUGUUUGAGGGUCAGUAUUAACAAAAAAUCGGUUUUGUUGCAAAGUGUGGCGUUUCCGGAGUUUGGGCUGAUCUUAACUUUUUUGGUUAAGGGGCUUAAAAUUGACCUUUUUUGCGCAUUUUGAGACGUACAUAAUGUUUUUUUUAUUCAUCUAUUCUGU